ACCCUAGGCAUCUCUUUCUCUCUCCACAAAAAGAAAGUCUUGGAGUGGGCUUUUUUCUUUCUCUUCAUGUUUGCCCUUUUCCACAUGUAGAGAAGUAACUAUUCUGAUUCCUGUAAUAUGCCCUUGUUUAUAGUGCAGUGGUUCUGUAUUAGGGUGUGCAGUAGAAUCACCUGGAAGGCCUGUGAAAUGGAACGUCUAGGCCCCGCCCCUGGGGAUUUCUGAUUGGUGGGUCUGGGCCCAAUAAGCCUGUGUUUCCAAGUUCCCAGGUGGUGCCAAUGCUGCGCCGCCAAGUCUCAGGCUGGGAACCACCGCUUUAGGUCCACAGUCUCCUCCCUAGAAGCCUCAGGAAACAUGUCACAACAACCUCAUGGAAGAGGCAGUAGGGGGAUGCUGCUGCAGAUGGUGCGUGAGAGAGGAAGAAGUUCCUUCAUUCAGAGGCAUCCACUCAACUGGUAAGAGACUUCAGACUUGCACAUUGAUCAGUAUCAUUCAAGAUUCUGCUGCUGCUGCUGCUGCUAAGUCACUUCAGUUGUGUCCAACUCUGUGCGACCCCAUAGACGGCAGCCCACCAGGCUCCCCUGUCCCUGGGAUUCUCCAGGCAAGAACACAGGAGUGGGUUGCCAUUCCUUCUCCAAUGCAUGAAAGUGAAAAGUGAAAGUGAAGUCACUCAGUCAUGUCCGACUUUUAGUGACCCCAUGGACUGCAGCCCAUCAGGCUCCUCCAUCCAUGGAAUUUUCCAGGCAAGAGUACUGGAGUGGGUUCCCAUUGCCUUCUCCAUUUUAGAUUCUAUAUAUAAGUGAAAACAGAUUUUUAUCUUCCUCUGUCUGAUUUUUUUCACUAACUAUAGUAACCUCCAGGUCUAUAUGUGUUGCAAAUAACAAGAUUUCAUUCUUUUAUAUAGCUGCAUAAUUUUCCAGUGUGUGUACAUCUAUCUCAUAUCUUUUUUAUCCAUCUGUUUGUUGAUGAACACUUAGGUUGCUUCUGUUAUCUCGGCUAUUGUAAAUAUGCUGCAAUAAAAAUUAAAACUAACUUUUCAAAUUAGUGUUUUCAUUUUCUUUAGAUGUAUGCCCAGGAGUAGAAUUGCUGGAUCACAUGGUAGUUCUAUUUUUAGUUUUUCUGAGGAACCUGCCUACUGUUCUCCAUAGCAGCUGCACCAAUUUACCUAUUUACAUUCCUAUCGAAGUGUACUAGGAGCCCUGGUCUUCAUAUCUCUCUGAUACUUGUUACUUCUUGUCUUUAGGACUACCGUCAUCCUAACAACUGUGAGGUGGUAUCUCACACUGGUUUUGAUGUGCAUUUUCCUGAUGAUUAGUGGUGGGGAGCAUCUUUUCAUGUGCCGGCUGGCCAUCUACAUGUCUUUUUGGAAAAACGACUCUCUCUUCUUCAAUUCUGAAUGAUAACUUUGCUGGGUCAUAUCAUUGGUUGUAGUUUUUGUUUUUGUUUUUUUUUCCCUCCCCCCUCUUUAAGAACU
ensembl:lncRNA